CCCAUCGGCCUGCUACACGUCCUGCAAAAUCCCCAAACUCUGAAUAUAAAGGAUCACCGCCUCGUCUGUUGUUGAUGACAUCAGACGGUAUUUAAGGAUCUGGAUGAGUCUCUCAGUCUCUGGACAUCGCU